rnacentral:rRNA from 1 species
GACGAACGCUGGCGGCGUGCCUAAUACAUGCAAGUAGAACGCACAGUUUAUACCGUAGCUUGCUACACCAUAGACUGUGAGUUGCGAACGGGUGAGUAACGCGUAGGUAACCUGCCUGGUAGCGGGGGAUAACUAUUGGAAACGAUAGCUAAUACCGCAUAAUAUUGAUUAUUGCAUGAUAAUUGAUUGAAAGAUGCUAUUGCAUCACUACCAGAUGGACCUGCGUUGUAUUAGCUAGUAGGUGAGGUAACGGCUCACCUAGGCGACGAUACAUAGCCGACCUGAGAGGGUGAGCGGCCACACUGGGACUGAGACACGGCCCAGACUCCUACGGGAGGCAGCAGUAGGGAAUCUUCGGCAAGGGACGAAAGUCUGACCGAGCAACGCCGCGGGAGGGAAGAAGGGUGUCGGAUCGGAAAGCUCUGUUGUAAGAGAAGAACGGGUGUGAGAGUGGAAAGUUCACACUGUGACGGUAUCUUACCAGAAAGGGACGGCUAACUACGUG